rnacentral:lncRNA from 1 species
AAAAAGAUGGAUGGUUAUUUUGGCCAACUUGUGUUUAUGCAAUGAAAGCUACCUAUAAUAAUUUUCCAAUUAUUGAUUCCUGCAACAAGCUUAGACUUAAAAGAGUUAAAGUAACUGGAGUAAAGUUCUGGUGGAUCAAAGAUCGAGGAAUGACUUGGUUUUAACUGGUUUGCAUCUUAUGAACGAAGUACAUAAUAUGAUUUAAAUUGAUGAUUUAUAGUUACACCUAUUGAAAUUCUGUAUCUCAAUGAUAUCCUGGCUUAUCGAUACGAUAUCC